CGCAGAGCCUAAGGAACAACUGCUUGAAGCCGACCACGACCGACCUGGUUAUAGGGAGGUUUUAAGUUAGCUCUGUUCUUUAGAAGGCCUCACCG
rnacentral:precursor_RNA from 1 species